AACAUGACACCUAAACCCCUCCUUUGACACAUAUCCUUAUGCAAUGUUUCUAUCAUCCUCUGAUCUUCUUUCUUCAGCUCAUAACCGAGUUGAACUUUCAAAAAAGAGAGAGAGAGAGCCGAGAGUAACUCUUGAGAGAGACCGUGACCUUCCAACAUCUUCUUUUUUCGAUUUCUUUAAAUUCGUAACUCCAAUAGAAAAUCUAAUCCGGUAAAAGUGUUCGUAUUCUUCUCCUCUACACAUUGGCAUUAUUUUUGUCCGGUGGAAAUCGACGGUGACGUAGCUCUUCUACCCCUUGAGCUUGGCCAACUGGAGUUCUACGAGGCACGGACGAUUCUUAACGUUUUUUCUUUCAGCAGUUCGGUCAGAAAACUUCUCCGGAGGUCCCGUUAGUUUGAUUUCGUAUGGAGGUAGGAUUUGGUAACUUUAUAAUAAUUAAAUGUGAGUUUGAUAAGUGAAUGUUGAUUUAAUUGAUUAUUGCUUGAAUUUGAAUGAGUUUAUGUUAAAUUAUUGUUGAAUUAUUGUUGUUUGCUUGAGAUUUUGAUUCAGUUAUGUAUGAACAACUAGCUGGGAUGCUUUGAUUAUUUUGGGAGUAAGAAAUGAAAUUUUCAAAAGCUUUAAGAAAUAUAUUAACUGAUUUUGAAUUAUUAAAGAAAUGUUUUUGCUGCUGGAGUCGCUUGGAUUAUUAAUUGUUUUAAAGAUUUUGGAGAAUGGCAUAAAGAUGUGGUUUUAGUUUUAAAAGAAAAAGAGAAGAUAAAUCGGCACGUGUACUUAUGAGAAUGAUUGAAAGGUCACGAGAGGGUGACGGAAAGUAAAUAGUUAUGGUGCCGAUGUGAAAGUGUUAAGCCGUGGGCUUUGUUUUUGAAUGAUUGUGCGGGGACGCUCGUGUGUAUGGAACGGCUUUCAGGAGAAAGUAGCACAUGCUUCAGUUAGAGAAUCAGCGCCUGCAAGAAGUGGAAACUUGCAGAGGUUAUGCCGCUGGAAUGCCUUAUCUGACUUGCGAGUCGGAUUGCGUCGGGUGCGGGUCGAAACCGACAAAUGAGCUCAUUACCUCCGAUAGGAAUAGACAUGCAUCAUGCUUGUUUGCGCAUAUCUCUGUGCUAUGUAACUCUGUGAUUGUGUGUGUGUGCUGCAUGACUGAUUGACUUCUGAGUUCUUUUAUUAUUCAUGCUUAUAAGUGUUUUGUUGUUAGUUGCGGUCGGUUAAUUAUGGCAAAAUGAACUUAACUUCUAACCCCGACCCUACUAAGAACUUCCCAGUUCUUACCCCCUAUCUCCACCCCUUUCAGCUACAGGUGCAAAGGCUCAUUGUCAAGUUACGGGAGCACAGAGGAAUAUGUUUAUAAGUUGAGUUGUUAGGAUUUGUUUUCCCCUCGCCUUGUUAGUUAGAGUUUUUAGAGGGGUAGGAUUUGUUUUUGGAAACCUUGAAAUAAGUUUAUGUAUUUAAUACUAUGUGAAUAUAUAUACUUUUGUGAUUUAGUGGC
rnacentral:lncRNA from 1 species